UCGAGGAGCAAGUCCAGAGCAAGUGGUC
rnacentral:piRNA from 1 species